rnacentral:lncRNA from 1 species
AGAGAGAGAGCUAGGCUGGUAUACUAUCAGUAGCACGGAGGCCUCCGUACUACAAAGUUGUUUUCAAUGAUGUGGCUUCCAAAUCGACUAUCGGCUCUAUUAGACUUGAUCUACACUAUUGAAAAUAUUUGGAAACUAAAUUUCAUAAUUUUUCGGCAUCAUUUACCUAUUAAAACGAGUAGUCUAAAAAUGAACGGUUGAAGAUAAAAUCUCAUAAAAAAUAAUGAUAAAAGACUUGAAUAUAUGAUCAGAGGUACCGAUCUUACUCUAAAUAGUGAAAAGAAUUUUCUAUAAAAAUUUCAUCUGAUUUGGAUUGUUUUAUACCGUUAAAUUUACAAAAGUAUCACAUCUACCAUUAAAAUUGUCAAUUUUGAGACCUUUUGAUCACUAGCCAAAUGAUGUCCAAAAAUUAUGAAAUUUAGUUUUCAAAUACUUUUAAUAGUGUAGAUCAAGUCUAAUGGAGCCGAUCGUCGAUUUGGAAGCCACAUCAUUGAAAAUAACUUGGUAGCAUGAAGGCAUUCGUGCUACUGAUAGUAUACCAGCCUAACUAUAUAUAUAUAUAGAGUCCGGCUACUAUACUAUUUAUAGUACGGGAGCUCCCGUACUAUAGUGUUGUUUUCAAUCUUCGGGCGUUCAAAUCAACGAUCCACACCGUUAAAACUGAUCUAGGGUAUUUAAAGCUUUUAGAAAUAAAAUUUUAUAUUUUUUCGACAUAGUUUACUUUAUGAUCAAAAUAUUUCAAAAUUGUCAAAUUUCAAUGGCUAUUAUGACGAGUUUGGAGUUUAACGGUGUAGAAGAAUCUAAAUUUCUUCAAAUUUUGAUAGAAAAUU